UACGGAGGGUGCAAGCGUUGUCCGGAAUCACUGGGCGUAAAGGGCGCGUAGGCGGCCCGGUAAGUAGGGGGUGAAAUCCUGCGGCUUAACCGCAGGGCUGCCUUCUAAACUGUCGGGCUCGAGCACGGUAGAGGCAGAUGGAAUUCCCGGUGUAGCGGUGGAAUGCGUAGAGAUCGGGAAGAACAUCAGUGGCGAAGGCGGUCUGCUGGGCCGUUGCUGACGCUGAGGCGCAACAGCGUGGGGAGCAAACAGG
rnacentral:rRNA from 1 species